GCCAGUGUGGUUCAGGCCCUCCUCAGGUCUAAGGGCAGAAAGAGCCUUAGGUAAGGGCUGUCUCUGUCCAGGAAGUGUCUGGUCCUAUGUGUCAAGUGGUGCACUGGGGUGGGGGGCUUCUGUGACCUGGAGAGUGUAGAUGUGUGUGGAUGAGCCUUGGACCUCUUUUUCUGAGAAAGGGGAGAUUGGGAAGGCAGGAGGAGGCAGAGGAAAUGUCAAGGAGACAUCGGUGUUUCCAGUUCUCUUGUACUCUUGUGAAGGCUAUUCACUGCACACGAUAGUCUAAAUGAAUGGCGCUCCCUAGAGUUGUGCACCACACAACCAUAUGUGAUGGCCUUGGCCGUGUUCCUUAGUCUGACAGCUCCAUGGCAGGAAAUAUAGCAGUUAAAAUUAACUGAGAAUUUACUACGUAAGCAUUCAACAUUUAUUUAAUCUUGCUUAGUCCUCACAAUAAUCCUCUGAAGCCGAUGCUUUUGUUCUGUAUGCUUUGCACUUGGGGAUACUGCUUAGAGGGGUUAGAUGAAUUGCCCAAGUUCAACAGCUUCUCUUUUUGUUUGGUACCGGGGUUUGAACCCAUGCCCACCCCUUUUUAAUAUUCUUUAGAGACAGGGUUUCACUGAGUUGU
rnacentral:lncRNA from 1 species